AACAGCGUUCUUGGAGGCAGGAGGGUUUUGGCUGAGGUGCUUUUCCGCGUCCAGAGAGGUGGAAGCGGAGGUGGCGGGAUAGAUCCUUCGCCCUUGAGGGGAAGUGGGUGACGCUGCGAGUGCCAAUGGUGAACUUCUGCCCCAUCGGUGCUUUGACAACAGGCACUUGCUCCGUGAGUUCCCGCCGGGAAGUAUAUUAAUGGAUAUUAUAAAGGGAAACCUAGACGGAAUUUCAAAACCAGCCUCAAAUUCAAGAACACGACCUGGAAGCAGAAGUUCAAAUACUUCUUUGGAGGUGCUCUCACCAGAACCAGGACCCUUCAAGGUUGAUACUACAAUCAAGUUGAAUUCUGGUAAAGAGGGCCUCUCAGAAAGCAGUAAUACAGAGGAAAGUAUGAACAGUAAUGAUGAUAAAAGGGAAAGCUACUCUGAGAAAAUGACAUUGGCUGAAGAGGGAGCAGAUGAAGAUCUUAACCUUGUUCAACAUCAGACAACCCCCGAGUGUUCAGAUGAGCCCAAAUUAAAAGAAUCAGAUUCUCAAAUUCAGGAUGCUAUUCAGAAAAUGAAGAGGCUUGAUAAAAUAUUGGUGAAAAGACAAUAUAGAGAAAAAGAAGUUAAAAAGCAAGGUCUGGAAAUGAGAAUAAAGCUGUGGGAAGAACUUAAGUUUGCACAAAAUGGUGAAGCUUUGCAAACUAAUGAGGAGAUGGAAAAUACAAAAAAGUUUUUGGCUUUGACGGCUGCAUCAGAAGAAACUGUUGCAGAUCCUUCUUGCUAUGAGAACAAAGACACGUUUUUUCCAGUGUUUCACACUCAAGUCCCUCCAGAAGAUUAUGAAAACCAUAUAAAGAAUGUCAGUCAAGAUUUUACCUAUGAUGUGGAAAGAAAUGAGUCAUUGAUCAAAGCAGAAAAGAAACCUUCCUCAAAUACAGAAAAAAUUGAUCACAGAGGUAAACACAACCUGGAUUUUAUUAAGAGAAACAUUGAGUUGGCCAAGGAUUCAGGAAAUCCAGUAGUUAUGAUUGAUAAAGAGAAGAAAAGGCUGGUUGAACUUUUGAAGGACUUAGAUGAUGGAGAUUCUGGACUUUCCAGUUCUGAGGGUGAUCACUCUGGCUGGCUGGUCCCAGGAGAAGGAUAUACACUUGCAGUUGAGGAGCAUCAGCAGCUUGUUGAUAUCGAUACAAAACUUCAAGAACUCUCUGCAGACUCCCAAACAAUUUCCAGCUUUCCUUUAAGAAUCGAAAGCCCAAAUGAUCAGGAACCUGAUUAUAAUGAUGAUAGAAAUAUGGAAAUAACUCCGGGAGAAAAGGUACUUCGGAACACUAAAGAGCAACGGGAUCAGCAAAAUCGGCUGAGAGAGAUAGAUGAAAAGCUGAGAAAGAUGAAGGAAAACGUGUUAGAUUCAACAUCACUUCUCUCUAAGGAACAGUUAAAGUCUCUUCUGGAUGAAUGCAUAUUCAAACAAAAAUCCAUGAUUAGACUUUCUUCAGAAAGAGAAAACAAUGACAUGGAUGAUAUAACACCUGAGUUCCCCCAGCUUUCCAGAUCAGUACUCUCUGAGUUACUAAAUGGUUCAGAAACAAAGGUCAAACAAACUGAGGUAGAAGAUGAAAAUAUCCUUGGGAAUGCAGAAUGUGAAACACCUAGAGGCUACUAUCUCACUAAAGCCUUGACUGAACAUUACAUGUCAGAAACUCUUGUCAUCGAGGUAGAGGAUAUGAAUUGCCUCCAAUUUCCAAGUGAUGAGGAUAUUAGUGACAAAAAAGACUAUUUUAUGUCAAAAACUCAUGGCAUUGGGAGACUGAAAAGGCCCUCUUUCUUGGAUGACCCAUUGUAUGGCAUCAAUGUGAACCUUUCAUCAGAAGACCAAUAUUUGGAACUCAGCCCUCCAAUGGAAGCCAAAACAGAUGAACAGGAGACUGAAGAUGUGACUGAAGAAUGUAAAGAAUCCUAAGCAAAGACUUGUUGGGGUAUACUUUUUAGAAAAUUGGUAAAUUAAGUUAAAUCACAUGUUUUUUCCUGAAUUCUUUGAAUUCAAGGACUACGUUGUAGAGAUCAUUCCUCAAAUAAUGAUUCUGGUUCCCUCGAGGCCUGAGUAUUUGCUCCAGAACAAGAUACUAAAGAAAAGAUAUGGAAGUCAGAGAGAGAGCUAAUUCGUCUUGAGAAUGAAAUUAAGAGCUUAACAAAAAUUUGAGGGUUUCUACUCUGUAAGAAAACUACCGGCACCACCUUUAUUAUAAAUUUCCAAGGACCUGAAGUUUAUUGCUCUUCAGUCUAACUCUCUUUGAAGCACCUACUAAUAAGUUUUUUUUUAAAAAAAUGUUCCCUUGUAAUUUUAUUGAGAUAUAGUCACAUACCAUGCAAUCAUGCAAAGUGUACCAUCAAUUGUUCAAAUUAUCAACAUAUAGU